GGUUAAGAAGAAGAAAUGUACUCAAAGAGCUGUACUUAAGGAAUUAAAACUGAGGAGCCCCAACUGCACCUGGACCUGGUUUAGAUGACAAGAUUUUGGAUAUUCAGCUCACACUGCAAUGGGAUGAGACUUUGCAGUCCUUGGUGGGAAAGAGCAAGGAACAAACAAGAAGAAAAUCAAGGGGAAAGCAAGAAAAAAACGAAAGCCAAUGGAGUAUGAAGAAGACUACGUGCAGGUAAGUCCUGUAGGUAGACAUUGAUUAGAGGCAAAAGUCAGAGAGGGCAUGACUAUGGUAUGAUUAGUGGGAUAAGCUAGGGAAAAAUUAAACCCCACCUUGAGGAAAUAAAUUGAAGCACUAUGGAUGUGUUACCCUGUAGGUUUCCAGAAGAAUGAUUGAAACUAAAACUAGUAUAGGGCCUUUG
rnacentral:lncRNA from 1 species